CACUAAGGUAGUUCUGGUUACAGUCUAUUAAAGAGACAUUAUAACCUACAGAGACUCAUCUACAAACACUGACAGAUGGACACCUUGAAGAACAGAUCCUCAAGAUAUUUUGCCCAGAUAGGACAGAUGUGGUCUGAUCUAUGAUAUCUGGACUGAAGGAAAAUUCAAGUUCACUAUCGACCUCAGGUGCCUACUGCUUAAAGGACUUCCAACAUGAUUUUUAGAAGAGCGUAUUUCAUUUUGUGAAACAGAUGUCUAUAGGGAAUGUUGCAUGCUCCCCAAUGAUACUUUGAAACAACCAAGGGGAAAAACUUAUAUCGAACCAUUCCUGUUGAGCUUCUAGCAAAAGUGAUGGCAGACAUAGAAACUAUUUUCUCCAUAUUCUGAAUUUGCAUCUUCUGAAAAAGUUUUGGAUGUAAAACAGCAUAUUAAAUACAGCAUUGCCUUACUGUAACAUCAA